UCGAAAGCGGACUAGGACGCCAGCCGCAGCUUCCCGACCACCCACCUUCGGCCGCCACCUGGGCUGCAAAGACGCCUCUCUCCGAGCUCGCCCCAGAGACUCUGUCGCCCGGACUCUGACCCUGCCACCUGGACCAAGGCCGAGGCCCCGGUGACCCCUAGAGUCGGAGUCUACCCGGCCAAGCCGCGGCCGGAGACUACCGGCCGUCGCCAUGGCAUGCAGUCUGCAGAAGCUGUUUGCUGUGGAAGAGGAGUUUGAAGAUGAGGAUUUCUUGUCGGCGGUGGAGGAUGCAGAGAACCAGUUCGUUGGCUCACGGCCUGUGAAUGCUGGGUGCCUGCGACCUGUCUCUUCUCGGCCACAGGAGGUCCAGCUACUGCCAUGCCCCACUGCUCCUUCAGAGGCUGCGGGCCUGCCAGCCCUGGGACUCCGCCUUUCUACCUCUGGCAUGCCCAGGGCCGUUGAAGGUCCACCUUCCACAGGAACAGCUCCCCUAAGGCCUGUCUCAAUGUCCAGCAGCUGGACUGGCAAUCAGGGAAGAGUGACACUGACAGAAGUGCUCAGUGAGACCCCAGUAAGACCCCAGUCCUCAGUCUCCCACCCCCAGCUCACCUUCAAGAGCAAACAGCAGGUGAUUGGUGGCUUUGAGGGGCCUGAACAAGAUGAAUUUGAUAAGGUCCUGGCAAGCAUGGAGCUGGAACUUGGAGUUAGCGGUGAGGCCACAGGAAUCCUGCCCACCUGGCGGCGGGAGGACUCAACAUUGGCUAAAAAGGCCCGGGCAGCUGAUCUGAGCAGACCUUGCCAAAAGGGGCCCAUGCCUGCAACCCACAUAGCUGGUAUCCCGUCAGCUCGGGAUGUGCCCCCGGAUCCUGUUGUCCACUGUGGGACUCCACAGUCCCACUUGAGGCCUGGUGCCACGGGUAACCUUCCUGUCCCAACUGCCUCAGUGGUUCGCGGUCAGCAGCCCCAUUGGGAAGUCUCUCCCGGUGGUCCCCCUCCUCAAGCACCCCAGCCUCUCCAAGCUGCUGGCAGGCUCGUUCAGAGCAGCCCUCAAAAUCAUUUCCCUGGUCAGCCAUUCCCGUCUCCAAAUGCCUGCUUAACUGGCAAACCUCAUUUUCUUACACCACAAACUCCCAACUCAAGCUGUGCUACUCCCUCAAGGACUAUCUCUGGAUUAUUUCCUCAGGGGCCCUUCCAGCCCCGAGCUCCAGCAUCUUCUGUCAAGUCUCCUGUCAGCACCCUGAAGGGCCCCCGUCCUUCCCCAGUCCCUCAAGCUGCUCUGCAGACGCCCAUCGUCACGAACCACCUGGUGCGGCUGGUCACUGCUGCCAACCGGACACCCCAGCAGCCCACUUGCACUUCCACCCGCGCCAAAACGCGCCGCUUCCCCGGCCCAGCAGGGCUCCUGCCUCGCCAGCACAGUGGGAAAAAUCUGGACGACAUCAUGGUUUCCACGCCCCAGACUCCGACUCAUGGUGCUCUGGCUAAAUUCCGGACAGAGAUUGUUACUAGUUCCCAGGCAUCGGUGGAGGAGGACUUUGGGCGAGGGCCCUGGCUGACCAUGAAAUCUGCUCUGGGCCUGGAUGAGAGAGACCCUACCUGUUUCCUCUGUACCUACAGCAUCAUCAUGGUGCUGCGGAAGGCAGCCCUGAAGCAGCUGCCCAGGAACAAAGUCCCCAACAUGGCCGUGAUGAUCAAGUCCCUGACUCGGAGCACAGUGGACGCCAGUGCAGUUUUCAAGGACCCCACGGGAGAGAUGCAGGGCACGGUGCACAGGUUGCUGCUGGAGACACGCCAGAAUGAGCUGAAGCCUGGCUCAGUGCUGCUGCUGAAGCAGAUCGGAGUGUUCUCUCCUUCACUCCGAAAUCACUACCUCAACGUGACGCCCAACAACCUGGUCCACGUUUAUAGCCCAGAUUCUGGGGAUGGGAACUUCCUCAAGCCAUCGCAGCCCUUCCCCAAGGUGGCAGUGCAGAGAACAGACAGCUACAGAUGGUCUGUCAGGAUCCAGGAAGCUUCCAUGAACGCCUCCAGCAUGAGACCGAGAAGCCUGGGAAAGGCCUCAGAAUAGCACAGAACCCAGAGGCAGGGGCAUCACCUGAGAAAGAACUACUCCCAGAAGCAGAUGACCUAGAUGGACUCCUGAGCGAGCUCCCUGAGGACUUCUUCUGUGGCACCAGCAGUUGGGACUCCCCCAAGGCAGGGCACCCCCCAUGAGCCGGCAGCCUCUCAGCACCCAGGAGAGAGAAGACCAACACAAUUGGAAAACAAAGUUCCGGGACUUCUCUGGCUGCUCCCACCCUGGACACUUACCCUGAGAACACCCUCGUCCCUCGGGUUCUGCAGUGCCGUCACUCUGGGUCUUCCUUUGGCAGCCGGAACUCUGCCCAGGAUCAACUCCAGCUCUACUGUCCUCCAAGCCCUCGGGUGCACAUUCCGUCUCCUCCUCCAACAGGGAAGGUGUGCCGUUCUCCCACCUCAGCUUGAAUUUAGAGGAUGCUGGGCCUGGUCCCUUUACUCCCUAGUCCGCGGGCAGCUGAGGAGCUAAGAGGAGCUGCACCACAGCAGUGGCGACCUGUCCCUCUGGACAAGGAAGGAACGCUCAGACUUCCCUCUGCGUCGUCUCUUGAGGCCUGUAGCUGGCCAGCUCACCUGUGCCCAGGGCUCCCAGGAGCGGGGGCAGGAGGACGGCUGAGGUGCCUUAUUCUGAAAUAAAGCAGCCGCCUGCUUCACCCACCUCCCUCUCGUUUCCAGCCUCGCUGCUCCUUGUUCUGUCUGCCCUGCUGGUGGUACCUUGGCCAGAGCAGAGCCAAGCCACUCGUUUUCUCUCUCUCUGUCUCUCUCCUUUUUUUUUUAACUAUAAACUUUUUCUUGUAGACAGUUUUAGAUUUAUAGAAUUAUUGCAAAGAUGUUACAGGGAGUUCUCAUAUACCCCACACCCAGUCUCCCCUAUUGCUGCCAUCUUACAUUAGUAUGGUAGAUUUGUUGCAACUAAAGAACCAGUAUUGAUACAUUACUAUUAACUGAAUUCCAUACUUCAUUCACAUUACUCAGUUUUCCCCUG